rnacentral:rRNA from 1 species
AGAGUUUGAUCCUGGCUCAGGAUGAACGCUGGCGGCGUGCCUAAUACAUGCAAGUCGAGCGAACAGAUAAGGAGCUUGCUCCUUUGAAGUUAGCGGCGGACGGGUGAGUAACACGUGGGUAACCUACCUAUAAGACUGGGAUAACUUCGGGAAACCGGAGCUAAUACCGGAUAACAUUUAGAACCGCAUGGUUCUAAAGUGAAAGAUGGUUUUGCUAUCACUUAUAGAUGGACCCGCGCCGUAUUAGCUAGUUGGUAAGGUAACGGCUUACCAAGGCGACGAUACGUAGCCGACCUGAGAGGGUGAUCGGCCACACUGGAACUGAGACACGGUCCAGACUCCUACGGGAGGCAGCAGUAGGGAAUCUUCCGCAAUGGGCGAAAGCCUGACGGAGCAACGCCGCGCGAGUGAUGAAGGGUUUCGGCUCGUAAAACUCUGUUAUUAGGGAAGAACAAAUGUGUAAGUAACUGUGCACAUCUUGACGGUACCUAAUCAGAAAGCCACGGCUAACUACGUG